UGGGGAAUAUUGCACAAUGGGGGAAACCCUGAUGCAGCGACGCCGCGUGAACGAAGAAGGUAUUCGUAUCGUAAAGUUCUGUCCUAUGGGAAGAUAAUGACAGUACCAUAGAAGAAAGCUCCGGCUAAAUACGUGCCAGCAGCCGCGGUAAUACGUAUGGAGCGAGCGUUGUCCGGAAUUAUUGGGCGUAAAGGGUACGCAGGCGGUUUAAUAAGUCGAAUGUUAAAGAUCGGGGCUCAACCCCGCAAAGCAUUGGAAACUGAUAAACUUGAGUAGUGGAGAGGAAAGUGGAAUUCCUAGUGUAGUGGUGAAAUACGUAGAUAUUAGGAGGAAUACCAGUAGCGAAGGCGACGUUCUGGACACAAACUGACGCUGAGGUACGAUAGCGUGGGGAGCAAACAGG
rnacentral:rRNA from 1 species